UACGUAGGGUGCAAGCGUUAAUCGGAAUUACUGGGUGUAAAGCGUGCGCAGGCGGUUUUGUAAGUCUGAUGUGAAAUCCCCGGGCUCAACCUGGGAAUUGCAUUGGAGACUGCAAGGCUAGAAUCUGGCAGAGGGGGGUAGAAUUCCACGUGUAGCAGUGAAAUGCGUAGAGAUGUGGAGGAACACCGAUGGCGAAGGCGGCCCCCUGGGUCAAGAUUGACGCUCAUGCACGAAAGCGUGGGGAGCAAACAGG
rnacentral:rRNA from 1 species